rnacentral:rRNA from 1 species
UACGAAGGGGGCUAGCGUUGUUCGGAAUUACUGGGCGUAAAGCGUGCGCAGGCGGCUGCUCAAGUCAGGGGUGAAAGCCCAGAGCUCAACUCUGGAAUUGCCUUUGAGACUGAGUGGCUUGAGUACGGGAGAGGUGAGUGGAAUUCCCAGUGUAGAGGUGAAAUUCGUAGAUAUUGGGAAGAACACCGGUGGCGAAGGCGGCUCACUGGCUCAUUACUGACGCUCAGGCGCGAUAGCGUGGGGAUCAAACAGG